AUAGGGGAAGGGAGGGAAAAACAAAAUAAGACAAAAUCAGGGAGGGAGACAAACCAUAAGAGACUCUUAAUCACAGGAAACAAACUAAGGGCUACUGGAGGGAAGGAGUGUGGGGGAAUGUGGUAAUUGGUAGAUGGGCAUAAGAGGGGGCAAGUGAUGGAAUGAACACUGGGUGUUCUAUGCAACUGAUGAGUCACUGAACUCUACUCUGAAACUAAUAAUACACUACAUGUUAAUUAACUGAAUUUAAAUAAGAUAAAAUUUAAAAAAAUAUAAGUAGGUAUCAGGGGUUUUUAGAGUCAAAUAAAAAGCAAUGUGAGUGAUCCUGAAUGAACCCAUGGCCUCAAACAAGUUUCACAAACACAAAGCGAGACCAGUCCAUUAACACAAAAGGAAGUAGUUUGGGAAGUGAACACAUCCACCUCACGAAGGGAACUAUUCUUCAGCUUCAAUUAUUGCUGUCCAUGGGAUGCCUGGGUGGCUCAGUUGGUUAAGCAGCUGCCUUCGGC